UCCUCUGUAGUUCAGUCGGUAGAACGGCGGACUGUUAAUCCGUAUGUCACUGGUUCGAGUCCAGUCGAGGAGCCA
rnacentral:tRNA from 1 species